GUUUUUGGUUCUGUUCCUGAAGCAGCCACUUUGUGUAUGACCUUAAGCAAGUUCUCUAACUCUCUGAACCUUGGUGUUCCUCACCUGUAAAAUGGGGACGAUAAUAAACCCACCUUUCCAGAUGGCCCCAAGCCCUGAGUUUGGCCCACAUUUUAUGAUCAAUGUGUGACCGCCAUUAUUACGGAUCAUUAGUCUUGGUCCAUGUGGUUCAGAACAUAGAACUGCUGCCUGCCUGACCUCAGUAAUUCAUGCAGAGAAACAGCAUUUGGACCUCCCAGUACAGUUCAUUUUGUAGAAUUUUUACACUGUGUGGAUAUAAGUGGCUGUCUUGGAGGUCCCUAGGCUUGCUAAGCACAGAGGCCUCAGACCCCCAGACUGGACAGUGCCCCACCCCCAGAUGUCAAGUUCACCUGGCCUCCUCUUCUCCAGCCUCAGUCACCUUCUGCUGAACAGCUCCACCUUGGCCUUGCUUACUCACAGACUAAGCCAGAUGACCUGCCUGCAGAGCCUCAGACUGAACAGGAACAGUAUCGGUGAUGUCGGUUG
rnacentral:lncRNA from 10 species